rnacentral:misc_RNA from 1 species
AAGUCGUAACAAGGUCUCCGUUGGUGAACCAGCGGAGGGAUCAUUACAGAGUUAUCUAACUCCCAAACCCAUGUGAACUUACCAUUGUUGCCUCGGCAGAACCUACCCGGUACCUACCCUGUAACGACCUACCCUGUAGCGAGUUACCCGGGAACGGCCUACCCUGUAGUGCGCUGCCGGCGGACCUCUUAACUCUUGUUAUUUUAUAGUAAUCUGAGCGUCUUAUUUUAUAAGUCAAAA